rnacentral:rRNA from 1 species
CAGUAGCCGCGGUAAUGCGUAGGUGGCAAGCGUUGUCCGGAAUUAUUGGGCAUAAAGGGCUCGCAGGCGGUUUCUUAAGUCUGAUGUGAAAGCCCCCGGCUCAACCGGGGGGGGUCAUUGGAAACUGGGAAACUUGAGUGCAGAAGAGGAGAGUGGAAUUCCACGUGUAGCGGUGAAAUGCGUAGAGAUGUGGAGGAACACCAGUGGCGAAGGCGACUCUCUGGUCUGUAACUGACGCUGAGGAGCGAAAGCGUGGGGAGCGAACAGGAUUAGAUACCCCCGUAGUCCCUGUCUCUUAUAC